rnacentral:rRNA from 1 species
AGGUUGAUCAUGGCUCAGGACGAACGCUGGCGGCGUGCCUAACACCCGUAAGUCGAGCGAUGAAGCCCUUCGGGGCUGAUUAGCGCCCUACGGGUGAGUAACACGUGGGUAACCUGCCUCAUAGAGGGGGAUAGCCUCCCGAAAGGGAGAUUAAUACCGCAUAACAUAUUUUGGUCGCAUGAUUGAAAUAUCAAAGGAGUAAUCCGCUAUGAGAUGGACCCGCGGCGCAUUAGCUAGUUGGUGAGGUAACGGCUCACCAAGGCGACGAUGCGUAGCCGACCUGAGAGGGUGAUCGGCCACAUUGGAACUGAUACACGGUCCAGACUCCUACGGGAGGCAGCAGUGGGGAAUAUUGCGCAAUGGGGGAAACCCUGACGCAGCAACGUUUUGUUUUUGAUGAAGGCCUUAGGGUUGUAAAGUUCUGUCUUCUGGGACGAUAAUGACGGUACCAGAGGAGGAAGCCACGGCUAACUACGUGCCAGCAGCCGCGG